CACGUAGGGGCCAAGCGUUGUCCGGAUUUAUUGGGCGUAAAGAGCUCGUAGGCGGCUCGGUAAGUCGGGUGUGAAACCUCCAGGCUCAACCUGGAGACGCCACCCGAUACUGCUGUGGCUAGAGUCCGGUAGGGGAGAGUGGAAUUCCUGGUGUAGCGGUGAAAUGCGCAGAUAUCAGGAAGAACACCCGUGGCGAAGGCGGCUCUCUGGAACGCAACUGACGCUGAGACGCGAAAGCGUGGGGAGCAAACGGG
rnacentral:rRNA from 1 species